rnacentral:rRNA from 1 species
UACGUAGGUGGCGAGCGUUGUCCAGAUUUACUGGGCGUAAAGGGAGCGUAGGCGGACUUUUAAGUGAGAUGUGAAAUACUCGGGCUCAACUUGAGUGCUGCAUUUCAAACUGGAAGUCUAGAGUGCAGGAGAGGAGAAUGGAAUUCCUAGUGUAGCGGCGAAAUGCGUAGAGAUUAGGAAGAACACCAGUGGCGAAGGCGAUUCUCUGGACUGUAACUGACGCUGAGGCUCGAAAGCGUGGGGAGCAAACAGG